rnacentral:rRNA from 1 species
UACGAAGGGGGCUAGCGUUGCUCGGAAUGACUGGGCGUAAAGGGCGCGUAGGCGGAUGGCACAGUCAGAUGUGAAAUUCCCGGGCUUAACCUGGGGGCUGCAUUUGAUACGUGUUCUCUAGAGUGAGGAAGAGGGUUGUGGAAUUCCCAGUGUAGAGGUGAAAUUCGUAGAUAUUGGGAAGAACACCGGUGGCGAAGGCGGCAACCUGGUCCUUGACUGACGCUGAGGCGCGAAAGCGUGGGGAGCAAACAGG